GAUGAACGCUGGCGGCGUGCCUAAUACAUGCAAGUCGAGCGAACAGACGAGGAGCUUGCUCCUCUGACGUUAGCGGCGGACGGGUGAGUAACACGUGGAUAACCUACCUAUAAGACUGGGAUAACUUCGGGAAACCGGAGCUAAUACCGGAUAAUAUAUUGAACCGCAUGGUUCAAUAGUGAAAGACGGUUUUGCUGUCACUUAUAGAUGGAUCCGCGCCGCAUUAGCUAGUUGGUAAGGUAACGGCUUACCAGGGCAACGAUGCGUAGCCGACCUGAGAGGGUGAUCGGCCACACUGGAACUGAGACACGGUCCAGACUCCUACGGGAGGCAGCAGUAGGGAAUCUUCCGCAAUGGGCGAAAGCCUGACGGAGCAACGCCGCGUGAGUGAUGAAGGUCUUCGGAUCGUAAAACUCUGUUAUUAGGGAAGAACAAAUGUGGAAGUAACUAUGCACGUCUUGACGGUACCUAAUCAGAAAGCCACGGCUAACUACGUG
rnacentral:rRNA from 1 species